AAAAUAAUGGCUCCAUGAUUCUUUUUUUUUUUUUGCCGUCCAUUCAUUAGCCCAUAAGAGCAGAAAAGGGGUACAUUUUAGUUCAACUAGGCCCAUACAACAUUAAUAAACACGUCAGAACUAAACGUGUUAAUUAAAGAGAAAGACUUUAUCCACGUGUCAAGCCUAAGGUUUCAUGCAAGCAGACUCAUCUUUAUCUUCGUGAUAUCCAACGCCGAAAAUUCUCCGUCACCGGAAACCACCGUGGAACCACCUUAUGAAGAACUAGGCUUGCCAAGAGUAGCGUACCUCCAUUAAACUUGCUCGAAGUUACUCCUCCGACUAAAUCCUGUGCGUAUUUCUGGUCGGAAAUUUUCACUUCUUCGUAAAUCAUCACCACCGAUCAUCACUAAUUCAAGACACGUCACCUUUCGCCUUAAACAAGGCUUUUGAAAUAGGGGACUUGAGGAGAUCAAAAGAUCUCAGCCAAGAGAGUAUGAUACCAGAAUUGAAGAAGAUGAAUCUCCACACUUACCACCGGAUUUUAAAACCGCCGCCUUCUAUAAGGAACCCAUCUGCGGAGGAGAAAGGGCAUGACACCAUCUGAAACAAACCGAAAAUCAUUUGCUUUACCAUAAAGACCCAUGAUUCCUCUACCAUAAUGAGAUCCUUUAAUUCACUAAAGAUUAGUGAAGGAUUUUACUCACAAAAGUAGAAAAAUCAAUUAACAAAGAUAGCAAAAGAACUUCGAUAGACGGAUGAAAAGAGAUCCGAUCGAGUCGGAAUUUAUUAUCCGGUAAAACGGAAGAAAGAUCCGAUCAAGUCGGAAUAUAUACAACAAAAACCGGAUUAAUCCGGUGAAGUUUCCGAUUUCAGAAGGAAAUCGGAAAUCGCCUCUCUCUCUCUGAAAAAUAGGAGUGAGAGAAGAGAGAGAGAGUUUGCUUUCUAUGGCUCCAUGAUUCAAAUGUACGUAAGUCUAUGUAUUGAAUUUUCCAAUAAAAUAUUAUUAUAUCA
rnacentral:lncRNA from 1 species